CGCAGGAUAGCUCAGUCAGUAGAGCAGGAGACUCUUAAUCUCAGGGUUGCAGGUUUGAGCCCCGCAUUGUGCUGUGG
rnacentral:tRNA from 1 species